GAGGGUUUAUUAUAAUUAAUUAUAUUUUGUUUUCAUUAAAAAGAUUUUCCCUUA
rnacentral:tRNA from 1 species